CCUACGGGAGGCAGCAGGGAGGAAUAAGGGGCAAUGGACGAAAGGCGGAACCAGCCAGGCGGCGGGCAGGAAGACGGCUCUAUGAGUUGUAAACUGCUUUUGUACGAGGGUAAACUCAGAUACGUGUAUCUGUCUGCAAGUAUCGUACGAAUAAGGAUCGGCUAACUCCGUGCCAGCAGCCGCGGUAAUCCGGAGGAUUCAAGCGUUAUCCGGAUUUAUUGGGUUUAAAGGGUGCGUAGGCGGUCGGUUAAGUUAGAGGUGAAAUCCCGGGGCUCAACUUCGGAAUUGCCUCUGAUACUGUUAGGCUAGAGCGUAGUUGCGGUAGGCGGAAUGUGUGGUGUAGCGGUGAAAUGCUUAGAGAUCAUGCAGAACACCGAUUGCGAAGGCAGCUUACCAAGCUACUUCUGACGUUGAGGCACGAAAGCGUGGGGAGCAAACAGGAUUAGAUACCCGUGUAGUC
rnacentral:rRNA from 1 species